rnacentral:snRNA from 1 species
CACCACUCUCGGUGGGCCG